GUUAGAUGUAAAGACUUUACGUGUGACAACUCAUCCCAGAAUUCUUUAUUAAUAGUAUUUUCAUUGUUAUUAGAUGAUAAAAUAUAAAUAGUACUUUAUGUGUGAUAAUUUUUUUAAAAAAAAUUCAUAAAUUUUUCAAAUAAGACAGACGGUCAAACGUUGGACAUGAAUACCCACGGCUACACUUAUU
rnacentral:pre_miRNA from 1 species